rnacentral:rRNA from 1 species
UACAGAGGUCCCAAGCGUUGUUCGGAUUCACUGGGCGUAAAGGGUGCGUAGGUGGCGGGGUAAGUCGGAUGUGAAAUCUCCGAGCUCAACUCGGAAAUGGCAUUGGAAACUACCUUGCUCGAGGGUUGGAGGGGGGACUGGAAUACUUGGUGUAGCAGUGAAAUGCGUAGAUAUCAAGUGGAACACCAGUGGCGAAGGCGAGUCCCUGGACAACUCCUGACGCUGAGGCGCGAAAGCGUGGGGAGCGAACAGG